CCUACGGGAGGCAGCAGUCGAGAAUCAUUCACAAUGGGGGAAACCCUGAUGGUGCGACGCCGCGUGGGGGAAUGAAGGUCUUCGGAUUGUAAACCCCUGUCAUGUGGGAGCAAAUUAAAAAGAUAGUACCACAAGAGGAAGAGACGGCUAACUCUGUGCCAGCAGCCGCGGUAAUACAGAGGUCUCAAGCGUUGUUCGGAAUCACUGGGCGUAAAGCGUGCGUAGGCUGUUUCGUAAGUUGUGUGUGAAAGGCGCGGGCUCAACCCGCGGAAGGCACAUGAUACUGCGAGACUAGAGUAAUGGAGGGGGAACCGGAAUUCUCGGUGUAGCAGUGAAAUGCGGAGAUAUCGAGAGGAACACUCGUGGCGAAGGCGGGUUCCUGGACAUUAACUGACGCUGAGGCACGAAGGCCAGGGGAGCGAAAGGGAUUAGAUACCCCAGUAGUC
rnacentral:rRNA from 1 species